rnacentral:rRNA from 1 species
AAUCGAACUCGGAGAUAGCUGGUUCUCCUCGAAAUAGCUUUAGGGCUAGCGUCGUGUUAGUAGCACAUGGGGGUAGAGCUCUGUAAAGGACUGGGGCGGGCAACUGUACCCACCCUUAACAAACUACGAAUACCAUGUGUGUAAUCACGGCAGUUAGAACAUCGGUGCUAAGAUCGGUGCUCAAAAGGGAAACAGCCCAGACCAUCAUCUAAGGUCCCUAAAUUAACGUUCAGUGGGAAACAAGGUGAGAUUUCUUAAACAGCUAGGAUGUUGGCUUAGAAGCAGCCAUUCAUUUAAAGAGUGCGUAACAGCUCACUAGUCAAGAGAUCUUGCGUGGAAAAUGUAACGGGGCUAAAACGUUAUACCGAAGAUAUGGAUGUCAGAUUUAUCUGGCGUGGUAGAGGAGCGUUCCUAUCAGCAGUGAAGUCGAAUCGGAAGAUUCGGUGGAGCGGUAGGAAGUGAGAAUGCUGGAAUGAGUAACCAUAAGAGAGGUGAGAAUCCUCUCGGCCGUAAGAGCAAGGUUUCCUGAGCCAUGGUAAUCAUCUCAGGGUUAGUCGGGCCUAAGCCGAGGCGCAGAGCGUAGGCGAUGGACAUCAGGUUAAUAUUCCUGAACCGGUUAAGUUUUGUACACUGUUCACGGGGAAGUAAUCGAAGCGGAUUCAUGGUUUAUCCGUCCAACCGAGCGGGAACGCAAAGGGAGUGAAAGUGAUUCUUCGGAGUCGCGAUUUUGGUGAAAGCCCUGGCUAGAAAAGCAGGUGUACGCGUGGACUUAGCCGCCCGUACCGCAAACCAACACAGGUGCUCGAGUCGAGUAGACUCAGGCUUACGAGCGAACCUUCGCUAAGGAACUCGGCAAUACAGCGACCGUAACUUCGGGAUAAGGUCUGCCCCCACUUCGGUGGAUAUCAGCCGCGUUCACUCAGUGAAUAUUAGGUUAAAGAGUACAUUUUUAAUCACAAAACGAAUUUUCUGAGAUAGAGCAAACGAAUUGUUCUUUUGAACGCGAACCUCUGACGUCUAACGAUGUGGGGGCCGCAGCAAAAGAGCCCACGGAACUGUUUAUCAAAAACACAGGUCUCUGCUAACACGAAAGUGGAUGUAUAGGGGCUGACUCCUGCCCAAUGCUGGAAGGUUAAGGGGAGCGCUUCACGGUGCGAACUGAAGCCCUAGUCAAUGGCGGCGGUAACUAUAACCGUCCUAAGGUAGCGAAAUUCCUUGUCAGGUAAGUUCUGACCCGCACGAAUGGAGUAAUCAUGUGGGCACUGUCUCAGCGAAGGACUCGGUGAAAGUGCAUUGGCGGUAAAGAUGCCGUCUGUCCGUACCAGGACGAAAAGACCCCAUGGAGCUUUACUACAGCUUUACAUUGAAUAUGGUUUCAACAUGUGUAGCAUAGGUGGGAGACUUUGAAGCAGAUACGCCAGUAUUUGUGGAGUCACCAAGUGAAAUACCACCCUUGUUGUGAUUGUGUUCUCACGCUGACCGUUAUCCGGUUAGCGGACCGUGUAUGGUGGGUAGUUUAACUGGGGCGGUUGCCUCCUAAAGAGUAGCGGAGGCGUUCAAAGGUUGGCUAACUUCGGAUGGAAAUCGAAGUGAUAGUGUAUGCGCAUAAGCCAGCUUGACUGUGAGGAGUACAUUCCAAUCAGAGACGAAAGUCGGAGCAAGUGAUCCGCUGUACGUACAUUUGUACAUGAAUGUGGGAUCGACAGCGCAAACGGAUAAAAGUUACCCUGGGGAUAACAGGCUUAUAGCGCCCAAUAGUUCACAUAGACGGCGCUGUUUGGCACCUCGAUGUCGGCUCAUCACAUCCUGGAGGGGGAGCACCUUCCAAGGGUUCGGCUGUUCGCCGAUUAAAGUGGUACGCGAGCUGGGUUCAGAACGUCGUGAGACAGUUCGGUUUAUAUCCGGUAUGGACGAUAGGAAACUUGAGAGGAUCUACCCCUAGUACGAGAGGACCGGGGCGGACGCACCUCUGGUGUAUCGAUUGUGGCCACCUGCUGCAUUGUCGAGUAGCUAUGUGCGGACUAGAUAAGCGCUGAAAGCAUAUUAAGCGCGAAACUAACCUCAAGAUAAGGUUUCCCUAUGAGGACACAGAAAGACUAUCUGUUUGAUAGGCGCAAGGUGGAAGUGCAGUAAUGUAUGGAGCUAAAGCGUACUAAUAGUCCCAUUGCCUUUUUA